AAGGAAUUGCGAUACCCAGAACAGGAUAAAACCUGAAGAUCAAGUUACUUGGAUAGGGAGCCGGAGUUAGGUGCAGUGAGUAAGCCUCCAAGAAUUGAGGAGGAAACCUAAAGCACCUAUCGAAGCACCCACUUGAAAAAGAGUUCAAGGUUUCCCUGAUUCUGGGAUCGCAGGUUAUAC
rnacentral:other from 1 species